GGCCCCAUCGUCUAGCACGGUCUAGGACACGUGGUUCUCAGCCAUGAGACGCCGGUUCAAAUCCGACUGGGGCUACCA
rnacentral:tRNA from 1 species